GAUGAACGCUGGCGGCGUGCCUAAUACAUGCAAGUCGAGCGAACAGACGAGGAGCUUGCUCCUCUGACGUUAGCGGCGGACGGGUGAGUAACACGUGGAUACCCUACCUAUAAGACUGGGAUAACUUCGGGAAACCGGAGCUAAUACCGGAUAAUAUCUUGAACCGCAUGGUUCAAUAGUGAAAGACGGUUUUGCUGUCACUUAUAGAUGGAUCCGCGCCGCAUUAGCUAGUUGGUAAGGUAACGGCUUACCAAGGCGACGAUGCGUAGCCGACCUGAGAGGGUGAUCGGCCACACUGGAACUGAGACACGGUCCAGACUCCUACGGGAGGCAGCAGUAGGGAAUCUUCCGCAAUGGGCGAAAGCCUGACGGAGCAACGCCGCGUGAGUGAUGAAGGUCUUCGGAUCGUAAAACUCUGUUAUUGGGGAAGAACAAAUGUGUAAGUAACUAUGCACGUCUUGACGGUACCUAAUCAGAAAGCCACGGCUAACUACGUG
rnacentral:rRNA from 1 species